UCUGGUUGAUCCUGCCAGACCUGACUGCUAUCGGGAUACGACUAAGCCAUGCAAGUUGAAUGGUUCUCGUAACCAUAGCGUACUGCUCAGUAACACGUAGAUAACCUACCCUAAGGUUGGGGAUAAUCCCGGGAAACUGGGCAUAAUCCCCAAUAGAUAAGCUGUACUGGAAUGUCUUCUUAUUUAAACCUCCGGGGCCUUAGGAUGGGUCUGCGGCGGAUUAUGGUAGUAGGUGGGGUAACGGCCCACCUAGCCUUUGAUCCGUACCGGACAUGAGAGUGUGUGCCGGGAGAUGGCCACUGAGACAAGGGGCCAGGCCCUACGGGGUGCAGCAGGCGCGAAAACUCUACAAUGCCCGAAAGGGUGAUAGGAAAUCCCGAGUGCUUCCUUAGCCGGAAGCUUUUCCCGAGCGUAAUGUUCUCGGGGAAUAAGGGGAGGGCAAGGCUGGUGCCAGCCGCCGCGGUAAAACCAGCUCCCCGAGUGGUCAGGAUGAUUAUUGGGCCUAAAGCGUCCGUAGCCGGUCGUGUAAGUCUUUGGUGAAAGGUCGGGUCUUAAGCCCGAAUUUGCUAGCGAUACUGCGCGACUUGGGACCGGAAGAGGCAAAUGGUACGUUGAGGGUAGGGGUGAAAUCCUGUAAUCCCCAACGGACCACCGGUGGCGAAGGCGAUUUGCUGGGACGGAUCCGACGGUGAGGGACGAAACCCAGGGGAGCGAGCGGGAUUAGAUACCCCGGUAGUCCUGGGUGUAAACGAUGCGCACUAGGUGUUGGCGAAGCUACGAGCUCCGUCGGUGCCGAAGCGAAGGCGUUAAGUGCGCCGCCUGGGGAGUACGGUCGCAAGACUGAAACUUAAAGGAAUUGACGGGGGAGCACCACCAGGGGAGGAGCCUGCGGUUCAAUUGGACCCAACGCCGGAAAACUUACCGGAGUCGACAGCAUGAUGAUGGCCAGGCUGAAGACCUUGCUUGAAGCGCUGAGAGGAGGUGCAUGGCCGUCGCCAGCUCGUACCGUGAGGCGUCCUCUUAAGUGAGGCAACGAGCGAGACCCUCAUCCACAGUUGCCAGCACAAGAUGGUAUCUUGGUGGGCACACUGCGGAGACUGCCCGCGAAAAGUGGGAGGAAGGUGAGGGCCACGGCAGGUCAGUAUGCCCCGAAAACUCCGGGCCACACGCGGGCUACAAUGGCUGGGACAGAAGGCCCCGACCUUGAAAGAGGAAGGAAAUCCUUAAACCCAGUCUCAGUUGGGAUUGAGGGCUGCAACCCGCCCUCAUGAACGUGGAUUCCCUAGUAAUCGCGUGUCAUCUAUCGCGCGAUGAAUACGUCCCUGCUCCUUGUACACACCGCCCGUCGUUGCACUCGAGUUGGGUUUGCCUGAGGCUGCAUUUUCCUUCGGGAAGGCGUAGACGAAGGUGAGUUCGAUAAGAGGGCAAAAGUCGUAACAAGGUA
rnacentral:rRNA from 1 species